rnacentral:rRNA from 1 species
UGGCGGUGCUUUAGACUCUUCAGGGGAACCUGUCUCGUAAUCGAUAGUCCACGAUAUACCUAACCUUUUUUAGACAUCAGUAUGUAUACCGUCGUCGUCAGGUAACUUUUAAAAAUAAAGAAGUUAGCAACAAAAAUUAGAAUAAUUUUGUACGUCAGAUCAAGGUGCAGCUCAUAAAAAGGUGAGGAUGGGUUACAAUUAAGAAUUAUAAUAACGGAAAGAGGUUUGGCAUAACCUCUAUGAAGGAGGACUUGAAAGUAAAACUAUUAUAUAUAAAUUUUUUGAAUUUAGCUCUGAAGCGU